UACGUAGGGUGCGAGCGUUAAUCGGAAUUACUGGGCGUAAAGCGUGCGCAGGCGGUUUUGUAAGCCGGAUGUGAAAUCCCCAGGCUCAACCGGGGAACUGCGUCUGAUACUGGAUGGCUUGAAUCCGGGAGAGGGAUGCAGAAUUCCAGGUGUAGCGGUGAAAUGCGUAGAUAUCUGGAGGAAUACCGGUGGCGAAGGCGGCAUCCUGGACCGAGAUUGACGCUGAACGGCGAAAGCUAGGGGAGCAAACGGG
rnacentral:rRNA from 1 species